AUACUUACCUGGCAGGGGAAAUACCAGGAUCACAAAGGCGGUCUUCUCAGGGCAGGGCUUAUCCAUUGCGCUCCAGAUGUGCUGACCCCUGCGAUUUCCCCAAAUGUGGGAAACUCGGCUGCAUCAUUUCUGGUACUGGGGGACUGCGUUUGCGCUCUCACCUG